rnacentral:rRNA from 1 species
UACGUAGGGUCCGAGCGUUAAUCGGAAUUACUGGGCGUAAAAGCGUGCGCAGGCGGUUUUGUUAAGCCAGAUGUGAAAUCCCCGGGCUUAACCCUGGGAACUGCAUUUGGGACUGCAAGGCUCGAGUACGGCAGAGGGAGGUGGGAAUUCCACGUGUAGCAGUGAAAUGCGUAGAGAUGUGGAGGAACACCGAUGGCGAAGGCAGCCUCCUGGGCCAGUACUGACGCUCAGUGCACGAAAGCGUGGGGAGCAAACAGGA